ensembl:miRNA
UGGCCCUGACUGAAGACCUGCAGUUACACUAUAGCUGCUGGUUUCAAACAGAGGCCCAGAGCACUGUCUUCCUG